CACCCAGCGCAUAACACCUCCCCCCACCCUACCCUCACCCAGCAGAAAACCCUAAUCCUCUUUGAAUUCGAAGAACCUCUCUUUGAAUUCGAAGAACAGCCACCACCCAUAAUCCUCUCUUCUCCUUGAAGAAUAGCCACUACCCACCAUUCCACUUCAGAGCUAAAAUUCAUCGCCGCUUCUCUGCUAAUCCAGGAAGCCUGCCCCCAAGCCUAGCCUCCACCACCACCUUGUGCCUCUAUUGCCGCCGCGCCGUCCGUCGCACCGACCCCUGUUCGGUCUCAGACUCACCAGUCGCAGGCACGCUGUUUCUUCCUCGAGCGUCCGUCGUCUUCCUCUUCCCCUGGAGCUGCUGCAUGCCUGCAUACGAAGGAGGGACCUGAAUCGAAACCGACGCCGGACCUAGGGCCACUCACCGUCGCGGGUCACUCAUCGUCGUGGGUCACUCACCGUCGCGGGUAAGACGUUGUCUCAGUCUUUGACACAGAAAAAAAUCACAAGAGGAUAGUGUGAAGGCAGAUUGUUAUGAUGGAUCUACAAGGCUUGCCUGCGAGUCAUGGAUUCCACAUGCCUGCGGAGUGGGAACCUCACACUCAAUGUUGGAUGGGUUGGCCUGAACGCCCAGAUAACUGGAGAGAGAAUGCUGUUCCUGCUCAAGAUGUGUUUGCCAAGGUAGCAUCUGCAAUCUCAAGAUUUGAGGAUGUAACUGUUUGUGCUAGUUCUGGCCAGUGGGAGAAUGCCAGGAGAAUGCUACCUGAACAUAUCAGGGUCCUUGAGAUCAGCAUGAAUGAUUCUUGGUUUCGUGACACUGGACCAACUUUUGUUGUGAAAAGAUCAGAGUCUGGUAAGGCAGAGCAAACUAUUGCAGGAAUUGACUGGAAUUUUAAUAGCUGGGGAGGGUUAGAAGAUGGAUGUUAUACUGAUUGGAGUUUGGACAUCCUUGUUGCUAGGAAGAUUUUGGCAGUUGAGAGGGUUCAUAGAUUUUCACAUUCAAUGAUACUUGAAGGUGGAAGCAUACAUGUUGAUGGAGAAGGUACUUGCCUUACCACUGAAGAGUGUCUCUUGAACAAGAACAGAAAUCCUCAUAUGAGUAAGAACCAAAUAGAGGAUCAACUUAAGACAUAUCUUGGAGUCAGCAAGACUAUAUGGUUGUCCCGUGGAUUGUAUGGAGAUGAUGAUACUAAUGGCCAUAUUGAUAACAUGUGCUGUUUCACUAGGCCUGGUGUGGUUUUGCUGUCUUGGACUGAUGAUGAAAGUGAUCCUCAAUAUGAAAGAUCUAUGGAAGCAUAUUCUCUGCUUUCUAAUGAAACUGAUGCCAAUGGUAGAAAAUUUGAAAUCAUUAAACUCCAUGUUCCUGGGCCACUAUAUAUGACAGAGAAAGAGGCAGCUGGAGUAGUGCAGGUUAUAGCAUCCAAGUUCAUAUUUCUUGUCUUGUCAAUAAAAAAUAUAAUUUCUUCAAAGUUGGAUGUUAUAAAAGAAAGGGUGAUGAUGGUAAGGCAAGACUUCCAGGUAUUAGGCUUGCUGCUUCCUAUGUGAACUUUUACAUUGCAAAUGGAGGUAUCAUUGUACCACAAUUUGGAGAUAAGAAGUGGGACGAUGAAGCUGUUCGAGUCCUAUCAAAGGCCUUCCCAGAUCACAAAGUUGUUGGAAUCGAAGGUUCAAGGGAGAUUGUUUUAGCUGGUGGAAAUAUACACUGCAUUACUCAGCAACAACCAGCCUUUUGAGCAAAGUACUGUCAACAUUUGUUCACGAGUGUUGUAUUUGCAUUGAAAUUUGUAGUCUCUGGAUCAUUGAUUAAACUGCUUGGUUCAUUCCAUUAAUCUUCAAAUGAUUGAUCCACAUAGAGGCACAAAAGUGUGUUCAAGUGCAUUGAAAUAAAAUGUAAACUGGCAUUUUUCAAGUUGGAAAAUCUAAAUGAAUGAAUAAAUUAGAGAUUUCUAGUUUUUACUUUGUAAAAGUACUUGAAUGCUUCCAACUAUGAUCUACCAUGUAUCUAUGAAAUUUUUCUUCAUUUUUCAA